rnacentral:rRNA from 1 species
AAUACGUUCCCGGGUCUUGUACACACCGCCCGUCAAGACAUGGAAGUCACCAAUGCCCGACGUUCCGCCUCAGGUGGACCUAAGGCAGGGGGGAUGACUGGGUCU